rfam:Nomascus leucogenys chromosome 2, whole genome shotgun sequence.
GCCAGGUGUGGUGGUGCACAGCUGUAGUCCCACCUACUCAGGAGGCUGAGGCAGGAGAAUUGCUUGAGUCCAGGAGGUCAGGGCUGGAGUGAGCCAUGAUUGAGCCACUGCACUCCAGCCUGGGCAACAGAGUGAGACCCUGUCUCAA